GGCACUUGCAACUUUAUUGGGCCAGCAAGAACAUGCAUACAGCCCAGUCUAAUGUAUAGGAUCAAAAAGAGCCCUUAUUUCGGCUGGCAAUUACCUUACCUGCUUGUUCAUUAUCUGACUUCUGCACUCCUCCCAAGUGUUCAAUGUUAACCAGAUGGCAAAGUUAACUAGACAGAGGAAAUCCACAUAAUUACUCUAGAUGAAGUCCCCUAACUGCAGAUUAGAUGGAAAAGAGAUGAAGGGUGCUGCACUAAUAAUAACAACCAUUUUCAACCAAGGCAGGAUUCUGGGCCUAGAAUCUUCAGUGACAAAUUACCAGGAGAGGAGGAGGAAAAUGAAGAGCUGGAGGCCUAGAGAGAUGGUGUGAGGAGAGGAGACUGUGCCUUUCCACUUCUUAAUAAUUAAUGUUCUCCUGCUGCUCUGAGUCUGUGCACCACCAGUGAUUCAGUUUGAGUCAGACAUCCAACAACCACUGAGCAAAAGAAUCAUCUCAGAUCCAAGCAAUGGUGAUGCAGAUAGAAGAGACUGAGGCCAACGACCAAAGCAAAGGACAGCAUAACUGAAUGACACAUUGCUCAGAAAAUAUCCAAAGCUCUGUACGCUCUGGAAAGGAAGGCAAGAAUUGCUAAAGACUCUGGAUAUUGCUCUGUUUCUAUAAGGUCCCACCCAUAUACCAUCUCUUCUUUUGGAUUUCCUUUGGCAGGGUUCCCUUGUAUGGAAGUUCUCGGGAGAACAACACUCUCAGAGUCCCAUUGUCUCAAAGAAUUCUUAAUGGACAGCUAUACUUGGCCCCAAGGUUCCAACCUCACAUUGAAGAAAGUGACAUAAGAAAACACAAGUCCCAGCGCUAUCAGGGGCUAUCUGGAAAAGCUGCUUAAACGGCAAGUGAAAGAAGGCUCUCCCCUACCCCGUUCUAGACUCACCCUGAAGUUAUUUGAAGGAUCCUUGAAACUCUUUUGGAUUGCUGCUUGGAGAACAUUCCUGUAACUUGUUCCUGCUCCUUGAACUAUAAAAGCAGAAGGGAAUUACUGAGUUAAAACUUAUAAAUUAUUAUCAAAUAAAUCUUCAACAGUG
rnacentral:antisense_RNA from 1 species